rnacentral:rRNA from 1 species
UACAGAGGUGGCAAGCGUUGUUCGGAAUUACUGGGCGUAAAGCGCACGUAGGCGGCUUUACAAGUCAGGGGUGAAAGCCCGCGGCUCAACCGCGGAAUUGCCCUUGAGACUGUAUCGCUUGAACACGGGAGAGGUGAGUGGAAUUCCGAGUGUAGAGGUGAAAUUCGUAGAUAUUCGGAAGAACACCAGUGGCGAAGGCGGCUCACUGGACCGUUGUUGACGCUGAGGUGCGAAAGCGUGGGGAGCAAACAGG